rnacentral:rRNA from 1 species
AGUGAACGCUGGCGGCAGGCCUAACACAUGCAAGUCGAACGGCAGCACGAUAAGAGUUGGUGCUUACGGGUGGCGUGGGGCGGGCGGGUGAGAAGUACAUCAGAAUCCACUAUGGCGGGGGGGAAAUCGUGGAAACGGUAACGAUAACAGCAUAUAUUACCAACGGCAAAGAGCAGGAGAUCCUGGCACCUUGCCCGAGGGUUUGAGCCGAUGCGGGAUUAGCUUGGUGGGGGGGUAAAGGCCCACCAAGGCGAAGACCCGUAGCUGGUCUGAGAGGAUGACCAGCCACACUGGGACUGAGACACGGUCCAGACUCCUACGGGAGGCAGCAGUGGGGAAUAUUGCGCAAUGGGCGCAAGCCUGAUGCAGCCACGCCGCGUGUAUGAAGAAGGCCUUCGGGUUGUAAAGUACUUUCAGCGGGGAGGAAGGGAGGAAAAUGAAUACCUGUGCACAUUGACGUUACCCGAAGAGGAAGCACCGGCUAACUACGUG